rnacentral:rRNA from 1 species
AUAGGGGAGCCGCAGGGAAACCGAGUCUUAACUGGGCGUUAAGUUGCAGGGUAUAGACCCGAAACCCGGUGAUCUAGCCAUGGGCAGGUUGAAGGUUGGGUAACACUAACUGGAGGACCGAACCGACUAAUGUUGAAAAAUUAGCGGAUGACUUGUGGCUGGGGGUGAAAGGCCAAUCAAACCGGGAGAUAGCUGGUUCUCCCCGAAAGCUAUUUAGGUAGCGCCUCGUGAACUCAUCUUCGGGGGUAGAGCACUGUUUCGGCUAGGGGGUCAUCCCGACUUACCAACCCGAUGCAAACUACGAAUACCGAAGAAUGUUAUCACGGGAGACACACGGCGGGUGCUAACGUCCGUCGUGAAGAGGGAAACAACCCAGACCGCCAGCUAAGGUCCCAAAGUCAUGGUUAAGUGGGAAACGAUGUGGGAAGGCCCAGACAGCCAGGAUGUUGGCUUAGAAGCAGCCAUCAUUUAAAGAAAGCGUAAUAGCUCACUGGUCGAGUCGGCCUGCGCGGAAGAUGUAACGGGGCUAAACCAUGCACCGAAGCUGCGGCAGCGACGCUUAUGCGUUGUUGGGUAGGGGAGCGUUCUGUAAGCCGUUGAAGGUGGCCUGUGAGGGUUGCUGGAGGUAUCAGAAGUGCGAAUGCUGACAUAAGUAACGAUAAUGCGGGUGAAAAACCCGCACGCCGGAAGACCAAGGGUUCCUGUCCAACGUUAAUCGGGGCAGGGUGAGUCGACCCCUAAGGCGAGGCCGAAAGGCGUAGUCGAUGGGAAACAGGUUAAUAUUCCUGUACUUGGUGUUACUGCGAAGGGGGGACGGAGAAGGCUAUGUUGGCCGGGCGACGGUUGUCCCGGUUUAAGCAUGUAGGCGGAUGUUCCAGGUAAAUCCGGAACGUUAUUAACGCUGAGGUGUGAUGACGAGGCACUACGGUGCUGAAGUGACAAAUGCCCUGCUUCCAGGAAAAGCCUCUAAGCAUCAGGUAACAUCAAAUCGUACCCCAAACCGACACAGGUGGUCAGGUAGAGAAUACCAAGGCGCUUGAGAGAACUCGGGUGAAGGAACUAGGCAAAAUGGUGCCGUAACUUCGGGAGAAGGCACGCUGAUGGUAAGUGAAGUGACUUGCUCAUGGAGCUGAAAUCAGUCGAAGAUACCAGCUGGCUGCAACUGUUUAUUAAAAACACAGCACUGUGCAAACACGAAAGUGGACGUAUACGGUGUGACGCCUGCCCGGUGCCGGAAGGUUAAUUGAUGGGGUUAUCCUCACGGAGAAGCUCUUGAUCGAAGCCCCGGUAAACGGCGGCCGUAACUAUAACGGUCCUAAGGUAGCGAAAUUCCUUGUCGGGUAAGUUCCGACCUGCACGAAUGGCGUAAUGAUGGCCAGGCUGUCUCCACCCGAGACUCAGUGAAAUUGAACUCGCUGUGAAGAUGCAGUGUACCCGCGGCAAGACGGAAAGACCCCGUGAACCUUUACUAUAGCUUGACACUGAACACUGGUCCUUGAUGUGUAGGAUAGGUGGGAGGCUUUGAAGUGUGGACGCCAGUCUGCAUGGAGCC